UCCGGGCGGAGCUGUUCUGAUGUUACGGCGGAGCUCGGCUCCCGUAGGAGUCCGGGCGGAGCUGUUUCGAUGUCGGCGGUGGAGCCCGGCUCCCGUAGGAGUCCGGGCGGAGCUGUUCUGAUGUUGCGACGGAGCUCGGCUCCCGUAAAAGUCCAGGCGGAGCUGUUCCGAUGUUGCGACGGAGCCCGGCUCCCGUAGGAGUCCGAGCGGAGCUGUGUUGUUGCCGAUUCCGCCAAGGGUUUCGGCUGUGGGUAUUUUAUACCCAACAAGGUAUAAGUGUCCUUUAGACCUGAGAUCGCCUCA
rnacentral:lncRNA from 1 species